rnacentral:rRNA from 1 species
UGGGGAAUAUUGCACAAUGGAGGGAACUCUGAUGCAGCGACGCCGCGUGAACGAAGAAGGCUUUCGAGUCGUAAAGUUCUUUUAUAUGGGAAGAUAAUGACGGUACCAUAAGAAAAAGCCCCGGCUAACUACGUGCCAGCAGCCGCGGUAAUACGUAGGGGGCUAGCGUUGUCCGGAAUCACUGGGCGUAAAGGGUUCGCAGGCGGAAAUGCAAGUCAGGUGUAAAAGGCAGUAGCUUAACUACUGUAAGCAUUUGAAACUGCAUAUCUUGAGAAGAGUAGAGGUAAGUGGAAUUUUUAGUGUAGCGGUGAAAUGCGUAGAUAUUAAAAAGGAUACCGGUGGCGAAGGCGGCUUACUGGGCUCAUUCUGACGCUGAGGAACGAAAGCGUGGGUAGCAAACAGG